AUGCUAGAGCCCCUCAAGUCCACGUGGCCGCUCAAAGGAGUGACUAUUGCGACUGAUGGGUGGGCUGACCCUCAAAGGAGACCAAUUUUGAACUUCAUGGCUGUGACAGAGAGUGGUCCAAUGUUUCUAAAGGCGGUCAACACUGAAGGGGAGACCAAAUCUAAGCAAUUUGUAUUUGAGAGGAUGAAGGAAGUGGUUGAGGAGAUUGGAUCCGAGAAUGUGGUCCAAGUGAUCACGGACAAUGCAUCCAAUGUCAAAGGUGCUGGAUUGAUGAUCCAAGCAAAGUACACCAAUAUUUACUGGACUCCUUGCAUUGUGCACUGCCUCAAUCUUGUGUUGAAGGAGAUAUGUGAUCCAAAGAUGCAUGAUGAAGACUUUGAAGUUCUUAACUUUAUAAAAGAGGUUUCCGAACUAGCUCUCUUUGUCAAGAACUUCAUAAUGACCCAUGGCAUGAGGUUGUCAAUGUUGAAUGAGUUUAGCAAACUUAAGUUUCUUCACAUAGCAGAAACCAGAUUUGCAAGUGUUGUCAUUAUGUUGAAGAGGUUUCUUUUAAUCAAGGAUGCACUCACACUAAUGGUUGUUCAUGCAAAUUGGGCUAAUUAUAGAGAGGAUGAUCCUCCUACAGCUCAAAGGGUGAAGGAACUUAUUUUGAGUGAUGUGUGGUGGGAUAAAAUUGCAUACAUUGUCUCUUUCACCUCACCCAUAUAUGCAAUGAUAAGGCUGACCGACACGGACAAACCAUCUCUCCAUUUGAUAUACGAGAUGUGGGACGACAUGAUGGAGAAGGUGAGAGUUCCUAUUUAUCGUUAUGAAAAGAAGGAGCUCAAUGAAGAUUGUGCUCUCUAUAUCGUUAUCAAGAAAAAACUUCUAAAACGUUGGAAGAAGAGUAGUACCCCCCCCCCUCCAUUGUUUGGCUCACUCGUUGAAUCCGAGAAGUUAUUUCCAGAUCCAAAUGACCACAAGACCGUCAAGAAAGAAUUUGCGGAUUUUGCUCUAAUGAUGAAUGACUUCCAGAAUGCAGAUUCAAUUGAAGAUAGAGAUGAUUUUGAACCAAAGCAAUGGUGGGGCACUCAUGGAGGAAGCACAAAGUUCUUGAAAAGUUUGGCAUUGAAGUUACUUGGUCAGCCUUCAUCUUCGUCUUGUUGUGAAAGGAAUUGGAGUUCAUAUUCCUUCAUCCAUAGUUCUGAGAGAAACAAGCUCACUCCUGAACGUGCUGAGGAUUUAGUGUUCUCACAUAACAACUUGCGUUUGCUUUCAAGACAAUCUGAGGCUUAUCAUGCUGGGCCAAGCCGGAUGUGGGAUGUGGGUGGAGAUGGGGUUGAGAGCUUCACUGGUGUUGGCAUCCUUGAAGGUGCUAACCUGACACUUGAUGAACCUGAAUUGGAGGCUGAGAUCACGAAUGCUCUCACUUGA
rnacentral:rRNA from 1 species